GCUGCUUGUCGGCCUUUUGGCUGAGAUCAAGUGUAGUAUCUGUUCUGAUCAUUUUACUAUCUGAAGACAAUAUAUUACAUGCAUUUUGGGAGCAGGGAGAUGGGAGGAGCUUCCUCCAUCCACUGCGUGCAUUGACCUGGUAUCGCAGGAGCAGGAACGGGGCACCCUCU
ensembl:snRNA U2 U2 spliceosomal RNA